GGCACACAUAAAACUAAGAUUACACAGGUUGAUGCAUAAAAGGGAAAAGGAGUUUUACUAAUGACAUGUAGGUGACAUACUGUGGUAUCAAAGUUCAUUGAUACAUUAUUUUAGCAAACACAACAUUUGACUGGAUGAAAACACAAUACCAAUUGCGAAAAACGAUAUUAAGAUCCCACGUUCAAUUCUUUGUCUUGCAGCAAAAUUGACAAGAUCUGCCCUGACAUCCACAACAUUCCAACAAUCUUCUAUGAGGCAAUCCACCAAGUGGUUCUUCUAAUGGGACGUGAACAUCCCCUUGGGUACUCGGGAUGGAGGUUGACAAAGCAUUUGGCUCAUAAGCAUUUGAAGCAUGAGCCAAAGGGUUGCUAAGGUAGCACAAAAGAACAAAACUCAUGAAAAUUGCAAGCAUUUUAGCCUUAGACAUGUUUAAAAUUAAA
rnacentral:lncRNA from 1 species